rnacentral:rRNA from 1 species
AUUCCGGUUGAUCCUGCCGGAGGCCAUUGCUAUCGGAGUCCGAUUUAGCCAUGCUAGUCGCACGGGUUCAGACCCGUGGCGGAUAGCUCAGUAACACGUGGCCAAACUACCCUGUGGACGACAAUAACCUCGGGAAACUGAGGCUAAUUCUCGAUACGGCUCCCAACCUGGAAUGGUGGGAGCCAGAAACGCUCCGGCGCCGGAGGAUGAGGCUGCGGCCGAUUAGGUUGACGGUGGGGUAAUGGCCCACCGUGCCGAUAAUCGGUCUGGGUCAUGAGAGUGAGAACCCAGAGACGGACUCUGAGACAAGAUUCCGGGCCCUACGGGGCGCAGCAGGCGCGAAACCUUUACACUGCACGCCAGUGCGAUAAGGGGACCCCAAGUGCGCAGGCAUAGUGCCUGCGCUUUUCUGGACUGUAGGGCGGUCCAGGAACAAGGGCUGGGCAAGACCGGUGCCAGCCGCCGCGGUAAUACCGGCAGCCCAAGUGAUGGCCGCUGUUAUUGGGCCUAAAGCGUCCGUAGCU